AUGGCUGUCGUCAGCUCGUGUCGUGAGAUGUUGGGUUAAGUCCCGCAACGAGCGCAACCCUCAUCCUUAGUUGCCAUCACGUUUGGGUGGGCACUCUAGGGAAACUGCCGGUGCUAAGCCGGAGGAAGGCGGGGAUGACGUCAAGUCCUCAUGGCCCUUACGCGUAGGGCUACACACGUGCUACAAUGGUGGUGACAAUGGGAUAAUCCCCAAAAGCCAUCUCAGUUCGGAUUGUCGGCUGCAACUCGCCGGCAUGAAGUUGGAAUCGCUAGUAAUCGUGGAUCAGCAUGCCACGGUGAAUACGUUCCCGGGCCUUGUACACACCGCCCGUGGGGCGGGGGCGGCGGGCCGGGCGCGGGGCGCGGCGGGCG
rnacentral:rRNA from 1 species